rnacentral:lncRNA from 1 species
AUCAUACCAGCACUAAUGCACCGGAUCCCAUCAGAACUCCGAAGUUAAACGUGCUUGGGCGAGAGUAGUACUAAGAUGGGUGACCUCUUGGGAAGUCCUCGUGUUGCACCCCCCUCUCUUCACAAAAUGUUUUGCCCCCUGCGUCGUCGACCCUUCUAACGAUAUAAAAUCAUGUAUAUUUCCUACAUUAUGACGUAGGGGAACCGAGACCGUUGGUAAUUCCGAGGUUCGGGUGGAAAACGGCCAAAACGCAGUUUAAAGUAAGAUAAAAAAUUGAAAAUUAAGGGAGGAAGUAGUGACGGGAUUGGUUGAUAUACACAUGAGCGUGAGCAGUGGACGGGUGCGAUCAUACCAACACUAAUGCCUCGGACCCCAUGGGCCGUCACCACGUCUCUAAAGAUAAAUUAUGUACAUUUCUUAUAUUACGAAAUAGGGCAACCGAGACCGUGGGUUGUUAUGAGGGUCGGGCGAAAAAGGGCGAAACUAAACGCAUUUAAAAUUAAGUGAAGAGAUUGCAAAUCAAAGGAGGAACUAGUGACAGUCGUUCUUUAUAUACACAUGACUGUGAGAAGUAGACGGAUGCGAUCAUACCAGCGUUAAUGUACUAGAUCUCAUCAGAACUGCAACGUCAAACGUGCUUGGGCGAGAGUAGUACUAAGAUGGGUGACCUCUUCGGAAGUUCUCGUAGUGCACCCCCUCCUUUUGCAAUUUUCCUCCGGCGACGUUAUCGACACGCUUAGCGAGGUUACAUCGUUUAUAUUACGUGCAUAAUGACGGAGGGGAACCGAGAGGGGGGUACUUUCCAGGCUCGGGCGGGAACGGGGCAAAAUGUAAUGAAAAAAGGCUAAAUUAAACGCAUUUCAAAUUAAGUGAAAAAAUUGAAAUUCAAAGGAGGAACUAGUGACGGUCGUGGUUUAUAGACACAUGACUUUGAGAAAUAGACGGAUGCGAUCAUAUCAGCACUAAUACACUGGAUCUCAUCAGAACUUUAAAGUUAAAUGUGCUUGUGCGAGAGUAGUACGAAGAUGGGUGACCUCUUCGGAAGUCCACAUGUUGCGCCCCCUACUUUCUUAAAUAUUUUACACCCCUUCAGCCGUCGACACGUCUCUCGUGAUAAAUCAUGGUAUUUGUGAGGUUUGUUUCUCGGGGGAACCGAGAGCGUGGGUAAUUUAAAAGGCGGGACGAAAAAGGCACAAAUUAAACACAGUUAAAAGUAACGGAAAAGGUUAGAAAUGAAGGGAGGAACUAGUGACGGUAGUGGUUCAUAGACACAUGAUUGUGAGAAGUUGAUGGAUGCGAUCAUACCAGUGCUAAUGCAUGAGAUCUCAUCAGAAGUUCGAAGUUGAACGUGUUUGGGCGAGAGUAGUACUAAGAUGGCUGACCUCUUCGGAAGUGCUCGUAGUCCACCCCCUCUUUUCACAAAUUUUGUAGACCCCAUGAGCCGUCGCCACGUCUCUAGAGAUAAAUUAUGUACAUUUCUUAUGUUACGACAUAGGGCAACCGAGACCGUGGGUAGUUAUGAGGGUCGGGCGAAAAAUGGCAAAACUAAAUGCAUUUAAAAUUAAGUGAAAAGAUUGAAAAUCACAGUAGGAACUAGUGACAGUCGUGGUUCAUAUACACAUGACUGUGGACCAAAAGAGGAACUAGUGACGGUUGUGGUUUAUAUACACAUGACUGUGAGAAGUAGACGGAUGCGAUCAUACCAGCACUAAUACACUAGAUCUCAUCAGAACUUUAAAGUUAAAUGUGCUUGUGCGAGAGUAGUACGAAGAUGGGUGACCUCUUCGGUAGUCCUCAUGUUGCACCCCCUAUUUUCAUUAAUAUUUUACACCCCUUCAACCGUCGACACGUCUCUCGUGAUAAAUCAUGUACAUUUCUUAGAUGAUGACAUAGGGGAACCGUGAGCGUGGGUAAUUUAAAGGGUUGGACGAAAAAGGCACAAAUAUAACGCUGUUAAAACUAAGAGAAAAGGUUAGAAAUGAAUGGAGGAACUAGUGACGGUAGUGGCUCAUAGACACAUGACUGUGAGAAGUAGAUGGAUGCUAUGACAUAGGGGAACCGAGAGCAUGGGUAAUUUCAAAGAUUGGACGAAAAAGGCACAAAUUAAAUGCAGUUAAAAGUAAUAGAAAAGGUUAGAAAUGAAGGGAGGAACUAGUGACGGUAGUGGUUCAUAGACACAUGACUGUGAGAAGUAGAUGGAUACGAUCAUACCAGCGCUAAUGCGCUAGAUCUCAUCAGAACUUCGACGUUAAACGUGCUUGGGCGAGAGUAGUACUAAGAUAGGUGACCUCUUGGGAAGUCAUAACUUCGAAGUUGAACGUGUUUGGGCGAGAGUAGUACUAAUAUGGCUGACCUCUUCGGAAGUGCUCGUAGUUCACCCCCUCUUUUGACAAAUUUUGUAGACCCCAUGAGUCGUCGCCACGUCUCUAGAGAUAAAUUAUGUACAUUUCUUAUAUUAUGACAUAGGGCAACCGAGACCGUGGGUAGUCGGGCGAAAAAAGGCUAAAUUAAACGCAUUUAAAAUUAAGUGAAAAGAUUGAAAGUCAAAGGAGGAACUAGUGACAGUCGUGGUUUAUAUAGACAUGACUGUGAGAAGUAGACGGAUGCGAUCAUACCAGCACUAAUGCACUCGAUCUCAUCAGAACUUCAAAGUUAAAUGUGCUUGUGCAAGAGUAGUUCGAAGAUGGGUGACCUCUUCGGGAGUUCUUUCGAAAGUUCUCGUAGUGCACCCCCUCUUUUGACAAAUUUUGUAGACCCCAUGAGUCGUCGCCACGUCUCUAGAGAUAAAUUAUGUACAUUUCUUAUAUUACGACAUAGGGCAACCUAGACUGUGGGUAGUUAUGAGGGUCGGGCGCAAAAGGGCAAAAUUAAACGUAUAUAAAAUUAGAAGAAACGAUUGAAAUUCAAAGGAGGAACUAGUGACGGUCGUGGUUUAUAUACACAUGCCUGUGAGAAGUAGACGGAUGCGGUCAUACCAAUACUAAUGCAAUGGAUUGCAUCAGAAAUUCAAAGUUAAAUGUGCUUGGCGAGAGUUGUACGAAGAUGGGUGACCUUUAGGUAGUCCUCGUGUUGCACCCCCUCUUUUCAUAAAUAUUUUACACCCCUUCAGCCGUCGACACGUCUCUCGUGAUAAAUAUUAGGACGUAGGGGAAUCGAGACCGUUGGUAAUUCCGAGGUUCGGGUUGAAAAGGGCCAAAAUGCAGUUUAAAGUAUGAUAAAAUAUUGAAAAUGAAGGGAGGAAGUAGUGACGUGAUUGGUUGAUAUACACAUGAGGGUGAGCAGUGGACGGGUGCGAUCAUAUCAGCACUAAUGCACCGUAUCCCAUCAGAACUCCGAAGUUAAACGUGCUUGGGCGAGAGUAGUACUAAGAUUGUGACCUCUUGGGAAGUCCUCGUGUUGCACCCCCCUCUCUUCACAAAAUGUUUUGCCCCCUGUGUCGUCGACCCUUCUAACGAUAUAACAUCAUGUAUAUUUCCUACAUUAUGACGUAUGGGAACCGAGACCGUUGGUAAUUCCGAGGUUCGGGUUGAAAAGGGCCAAAACGCAGUUUAAAGUAUGAUAAAAGUUUGAAAAUGAAGGGAGGAAGUAGUGACGGGAUUUGUUGAUAUACACAUGAGGGUGAGCAGUGGACGGGUGUGAUCAUACCAGCACUAAUGCACCGGAUCCCGUCAGAACUCCGAAGCUAAAUGUGCUUGGGCGAGAGUAGUACUAAGAUUGGUGACCUCUUGGGAAGUCCUCGUGUUGCACCCCCCUCUCUUCACAAAAUGUUUUGCCCCCUGCGUCGUCGACCCUUCUAACUAUAUAAAAUCAUGUAUAUUUCCUACUUUAUGACGUAGGGGAACCGAGACCGUUGGUAAUUCCGAGGUUCGGGUUGAAAAGGGCCAAAACGCAGUUUAAAGUAUGAUAAAAGAUUGAAAAUGAAGGGAGGAAUUAGUGACGGGAUUGGUUGAUAUACACAUGAGGGUGAGUAGUGGACGGGUGCGAUCAUACCAGCACUAGUGCACCGGAUCCCAUCAGAACUCCGAAGAUAAACGUGCUUGGGCGAGAGUGGUACUAAGAUGGGUGACCUCUUGGGAAGUCCUCGUGUUGCACCCCCCUCUCUUCACAAAAUGUUUUGCCCCCUGCGUCGUCGACCCUUUAACGAUAUAUAAUCAUGUAUAUUUCCUACAUUAUGACGUAGGGGAACCGAGACCGUUGGUAAUUCCGAGGUUCGGGUGGAAAAGGGCCAAAUCGCAGUUUAAAGUAAGAUAAAAGAUUGAAAAUGCAGGGAGGAAGUAGUGACGGGAUUGGUUGAUAUACACAUGAGCGUGAGCAGUGGACGGGUGCGAUCAUACCAGCACUAAUGCAACUGAUCCCAUCAGAACUCCGAAGUUAAACGUGCUUGUGCGAGAGUAGUACUAAGAUGGGUGACCUCUUGGGAAGUCCUCGUGUUGCACCCCCCUCCUCUUUUUGCAAUUUUUUCUCCCGGCGACGUUAUGGACACUCUUACCGAGAUUACAUCGUUUAUAUUACACGCAUAAUGAGGGAGGGGA